UAAAUUGUCUGUGCAAAAAUCUGCCCAAAAUUACUAAAAUGUGUUUCUGGUUUCAUUUCAAAUUUUCAAAAGAGCUAUAAUGAAAUCCAAUGACUGGAAGUAGGCCUAAUUAUGGAUUUAGUCUGGUAUAGUUAAAGUAAAAUGCCUGAGGACUAGAACAUAAGUCCGACCUUAAGUAAUGGGUAUGCGAGUUAUUGCAAAAAAAGAGGGGUGUCAAAUUAAUUAAAUAAGGUUAAUAACAUCUGACCAAGUUGUAUUAAAUUUCAAUAUUUUCAAUUAUCGGUUUUGAUACGGUCAUGUUUCGUGUGUCACCCUGUACCCAAAUCAAAGUAAUAUUUGAUAGGUUUUGCGCUUUUAUACAACAUCGUGCCAUUUACCUACUGAAUUUGAUUUAUCUAGGAGGUGAAGGCAUCCCCAGGCAAGAUUGAUGGAAAGAAAGCUAAAGGAAAGAAGAUCAGUCCAAAGAAGAAAGGUGGUGAAGAAAAAGAAGAAAAGCCCAACGAGCCUACUAAGGAGAAAGGGAAAAAGGGAACCCCUAAGAAAGAAUCCCCCAUGAAGAAAGAAACAAGUGAGCCUAAGAAGAGGAAAGCAAGCGAUGAAGAUUCUACAGAAAAAAAGAAGAGUAAAGCCUAGAAAAUAGAUCAUUCUAUUGCUGGUGCCAGUGUGCAAGGAUAUGUUUAAGCUUUUAUGUAAUUUGUAUAGUCAAAUUAUUCAAUAAACUGAUUCAGUUAUUC